UUUGUACUAAACAUAAUAGCUAAUAACUAACUUAAAACCUUAAGUGGAUUUUAUGAAAUUUUUAGAAAUUAUUUAUUUAUUGUUAGCUAUCUACGAGGGUGGUUCCAUUUUGGAUUUUUCACAGCUCUUAUAAUUGGGUUAAAAUUUAUCAAUAUUUUCUUUAUAUUUAUAAUAAAAAUAUUCUUAAAUCUAUUUAUGUACAGUAAAAAAUUUAUUUUUGUUAAUUAAAUUAAUAUUAUUGGACACAAAAAGUAAAAUUAUACUCUUUGUAAUGUAGUUAAUGAUGUCAAAUGCAUGUGGUUAAUGGACGUCUCAGUCAAGUGAUAAAGGAUUGAAAGGCACUAUCUAAAAGUAAAAGUAAAUGUCAGAUUCAAAUUUUAUUAAAUAUAAUUCAUUUUCAGUGCCCUUUAAUAUUUUUUUAAAAAAUAUGAUUAAGUAUUUUAUAAUAUAAUAAAUUAAUAAUACAAUUUUUAAUUAAAAUUUCUUGAUGAAAAAUCCUACAUGUAAUAUGAAACAUAUAUAUUUAUGUAUAUAUUAAUUGCAAG
rnacentral:misc_RNA from 1 species